UUUGAUAAGUGAACUAAACUCAGUUUUCAUCAACCUGUUGUGAACACUACUUUUAAAUAAGUAAGUAGUAAUUUGGGGUUGGAGAACUUGCUUAACUUGAUAUAUCCCAGUUAAGUCAAAUUAGAAAAAAUAAUUUAUUGUACCCAGUGUCCUUUGCGCGUUCUAUCAGACAUGCGCAGAUCUGCCCUGCCUACUUUCGCGCUCUUUCCAACACCUUUCUCAUUUAUUUUCGCCAUUGUGGGUUUAUUUGUCCUCAGCACACUGAUUUGGCUGAAGCAAAUGGUCAGAAGUCCACACAUACCUCAGUCUCUGCAAUUACAGGUCAACCAGAGCAGUAUUCUCUAAUGCAGUGGACUUGUAAGUACUGCACAUUUUCUGCUGGAAAGAGAGGCUACUUGCUUAAGCAUUACCGCUUAAAACAUGGAUACCACACUCGGACAUCCCUACUCCCCAUGUCUUCAUAAGGACUGCCUCUGCACAUUUAAAUCUUUUAAUGCACUCAAAGUACACCUAUCGACAUGCCACUCUCAAAAAGAUGCAGACAAAAGUGGAGAAACUGCAUUUGACUGUCAGUUGUGCAACUUUGUGGAGCCAUGUUAAGAAGCAGACUUCUUUACCCAUUUGCGAAGACAUCUUAAGCUGAGGCAAAUGGUUACUUGCAUAUAUCAAGACUGUAACUUUCAGAGCACUGUUUAUUCUACCUUCACUGCACACAAAAGCAGAAAUGUGAAAUGAGUUUGAACCAUAGUAUGGGUAGGACAUUUGUGUCUAAAUCAUUCAAUCCCAAUAAAAGUUGCUUCAAUCAAAAAAAAUAUUUUUAAUGAAAGAAAAAGAACCUCUUGCUAAAAUGUUUUUUUGAAAAUAUAUAUUUUUUGAAAUAUAUAUAUUUUUUUAUUGACGUGUCACUUUUUUUGCAAAGCAUGAAGUUUUAAACUUUUUUUUUUUUAAAGUGGAAAAAGU